rnacentral:rRNA from 1 species
GAUCAUGGCUCAGGAUGAACGCUAGCUACAGGCUUAACACAUGCAAGUCGAGGGGAAACGACAUCGAAAGCUUGCUUUUGAUGGGCGUCGACCGGCGCACGGGUGAGUAACGCGUAUCCAACCUGCCCAUCACUUGGGAAUAACCUUGCGAAAGUAAGACUAAUACCCAAUGAUAUCCCACGAAGGCAUCCGAAUGGGAUUAAAGAUUUAUCGGUGAUGGAUGGGGGAUGCGUCUGAUUAG